AAACUCAAAGGAAUAGACGGGGACCCGCACAAGCGGUGGAGCAUGUGGUUUAAUUCGACGAUACGCGAAGAACCUUACCUGGCCUUGACAUAGAAAGAACUUACUAGAGAUAGUUUGGUGCUAGCUUGCUAGAACUUUCAUACAGGUGCUGCACGGCUGUCGUCAGCUCGUGUCGUGAGAUGUUGGGUUAAGUCCCGCAACGAGCGCAACCCUCGUGUUUAGUUCCUAACAGUUCGGCUGAGGACUCUAGACAGACUGCCUGGGUAACCAGGAGGAAGGUGAGGACGACGUCAAGUCAUCAUGGCCCUUACGGCCAGGGCUACUCACGUGCUACAAUGGGGUAUACAAAGAGCCGCGAUACCGCGAGGUGGAGCAAAUCUCAUAAAAUAUCUCCCAGUUCGGAUUGAAGUCUGCAACUCGACUUCAUGAAGUUGGAAUCGCUAGUAAUCGUGAAUCAGCAAUGGUACGGUGAAUACGUUCCCGGGCCUUGUACUCACCGCCC
rnacentral:rRNA from 1 species